GGCCAGUUAGCUCAGUUGGUUAGAGCAUGGUGCUUCUAACACCAAGGUCCAGUGUUUGAUCCCUGUACUGGCCA